rnacentral:rRNA from 1 species
AACGAACGCUGGCGGCGUGGAUAAGACAUGCAAGUCGAACGGGAUCUAUUGGGUAGUAAUAUUCGAUAGGUCUAGUGGCGUAAGGGUGCGUAACACGUGGGCAAUCUGCCGGGAAAUGGGGGAUAGCUUGCCGAAAGGCAAAUUAAUACCGCAUGUGGCGAAGGAGGACAUCCUCCCGUAGCUAAAGUCGGGGUAACCUGACGUUUCCUGAUGAGCCCGCGGCCUAUCAGCUAGUUGGUAAGGUAACGGCUUACCAAGGCUAUGACGGGUAGCUGGUCUGAGAGGACGACCAGCCACACUGGAACUGAGACACGGUCCAGACACCUACGGGAGGCAG